UACAGAGGUGGCAAGCGUUGUUCGGAAUUACUGGGCGUAAAGGGCGCGUAGGCGGCCUUCUAAGUCAGACGUGAAAUCCCCCGGCUUAACCUGGGAACUGCGUCUGAUACUGGAAGGCUUGAGUGCGGGAGAGGGAUGUGGAAUUCCAGGUGUAGCGGUGAAAUGCGUAGAUAUCUGGAGGAACACCGGUGGCGAAGGCGGCAUCCUGGACCGACACUGACGCUGAGGCGCGAAAGCGUGGGUAGCAAACAGG
rnacentral:rRNA from 1 species